GUGUCUACUAAAAAUACAAAAAUUAGCCGGGUAUGGUGGUGGGCGCCUGAAUCCCAACUAAUCCGGAGGCUGAGGCAGGAGAAUUGCUUGAACCCGGGAGGCUGAGGUUGUGGUGGGCCAAAA